rnacentral:rRNA from 1 species
GGAGUUAGCCGGUGCUUCUUCUGCGAGUAACGUCACAGAUGUAAGGUAUUAACUUACACCCUUUCCUCCUCGCUGAAAGUGCUUUACAACCCGAAGGCCUUCUUCACACACGCGGCAUGGCUGCAUCAGGGUUUCCCCCAUUGUGCAAUAUUCCCCACUGCUGCCUCCCGUAGGAGUCUGGGCCGUGUCUCAGUCCCAGUGUGGCUGAUCAUCCUCUCAGACCAGCUAGGGAUCGUCGCCUAGGUGAGCCUUUACCUCACCUACUAGCUAAUCCCACCUGGGCUUAUCCAUCAGCGCAAGGCCCGAAGGUCCCCUGCUUUCCCCCGUAGGGCGUAUGCGGUAUUAGCAGUCGUUUCCAACUGUUAUCCCCCACAAAUGGGCAAAUUCCCAGGCAUUACUCACCCGUCCGCCGCUCGUCAUCUUCAAAAGCAAAGCUUUUGAAAUGUUACCGCUCGACUUGCAUGUGUUAGGCCUGCCGCCAGCGUUCAAUCUGAGCCAGGAUCAAACUCUGA